GCCUGGGUAGCUCAACCGGGAGAGCGUCAGACUUUCAAUCUGAAGAUCAAGGGUUCGAGCCCCCAUCCAGGCG